UCCAAAAAUUAUUAAUUCAAUAAUAUUUUUCUAACCAGAUGGGAAAAUCCAAGGAGUCCUCAGCUGUCUACACCUGCAGAGGUGGAGCCGUCUCAAUGCAGCAGGCAACCUCAAAUCACAGAUCGGUUGAGGGGUCCUCUUUUACUGUACCCACAUGUCUGUAUAGCCCAAUUUACAUUGUUAAGAUGGUCACAUCUUUGCGGCAUUGUUGAAAGUGUAUUCCAGAGUCAGGUGGUGGGUCAGCAACCCACUCAUCAGACACUGAGGACUCAGGGAUCACCAUGGUAGCCCCACCUCUAUCAGCAGUGGAAGCUAGUGUCAAAUCACCCUCCCCAUGAUCAUCCCCCCAGCACAGGUAGAUUACACACAAGUAUAUUACACAACUAAUUUGAUGACCUCUGAAAAUCACGGUUCAUCCCCAACCACCCCUUCACCCAUAGCAGCUCGCUCCGAGGGCCCUCUUGUCAUGUGUUGAUGAAACUUUCAGAGUGGUGAGGGGAUCAAUAAACACAUCAACUUCAGGACUCAUGACUCGAGUUAAGCAAUUUGCUCUACAUUCAAAUAAUAACAUGAAUUUCAAAUUCCCCGUCAUUUUACAAGAUAAACAUCUGACAGUUAAACAUUUCAUUUGGGCGGCAUUUGUUGUGUGUAUAUCUUCUUUUUUUUUUUUGGUAAAUGCACGUGGCAUAUAAAUUAGGCAUACCUCCAUUCUUCUGUAUGAAAUUGCACAAACUUCAAACCCAUCACUAUGCUUGUUGGGAUACCACGUCGCUCUGGAGCCUGCAGCCUUGCUGACAUUGUCGAAGGUGCGAUUGUAGGGUCUAAUUUGCUCCUACACCCUCAGCUUUGGGACACUUGUGCAAAUGGUGAAUGCCAAAUGUAGGAGCGAGGGUGAUUUGGAAUUCAGCCUCAGAAAUAACAUUUCAUACAGAUGUAUCUUCUAAUUAUAACAUUCUUCUAUGGUGUGCUCAUCCCAAUCUCACUCCUGCUGUGUUUCCUAACCCGAGCCUGUUUAAGAGGAGUGGAGCAGGAGGAGCUAAAGGAGCAGGGAAGACUUCCUGUCCUGCGGACACUAAGCUGGACCCAGAGGGGACUCACCAGAGUCCGAGACUCACCAGAGGACGAGAGGCUGACGCAGACUGCACUAGCACUGCAUCGCUCUGGCUAAGGCCAAGGAAGACACCAGGGUUGAGGAAUCAGUGGGAGGCAGAGGAGAGAUGGAGGGAGGAGCAAGGCAAAGGGCCAGAGAGUGACUUUAACCUGUCUCCAGUGGCUGAGAUAACGGUGGCCUCCACCACCUCUGUGGUCAUCACCAAACAGUCGCCUGCCUGCAGCGGCUAAGAGGAAAUAGACUACCCAGAUCACCCUGGGGUUUGGGAGAGAUAGGACUGUAAGACCUGUUUGCUAGUGCCAGAUUAAAAACAGACAUUUUCAGAUCAUGGUCUAUCAAAUCAUAAGUCGAUCAAUAAUGCAAUGCUCCAAAACCAGUGGAAAGCCUUCCCUGGAGGCUGUUACAGCAGUGUAGGGGGGAACAACUCCAUAUUAACAUGCAUUUCACACAAUUCUUCUGAUAAUAAAAUAUUGUUUCAUGA